GAUGAACGCUGGCGGUGUGCCUAAUACAUGCAAGUCGUGCGGAAAGGCCCUUCGGGGUACUCGAGCGGCGGACGGCUGAGUAACGCGUGGGAACCGUGCCCCAAAAGUGAGGGAUAACGCACCGAAAGGUGUGCUAAUACCGCAUAUGGUCUUCGGAUUAAAGUAUUUAUACGCUUUGGGAGCGGCCUGCGUACGAUUAGAUAGUUGGUGAGGUAAAGGCUCACCAAGUCUACGAUCGUUAACUGGUCUGAGAGGAUGAUCAGUCAGACUGGAACUGAGACACGGUCCAGACUCCUACGGGAGGCAGCAGUAAGGAAUCUUCCACAAUGGGCGAAAGCCUGAUGGAGCAACACCGCGUGAAGGAUGAAGGCCCUCGGGUCGUAAACUUCUUUUAUGAGUGAAGAAUAUGACGGUAACUCAUGAAUAAGGGUCGGCUAACUACGUG
rnacentral:rRNA from 1 species